rnacentral:rRNA from 1 species
CAGCCGCCACGGGAAUACGUAGGGUGCAAGCGUUGAUCGGAAUUACUGGGCGUAAAGCGUGCGCAGGCGGUUAUAUAAGUCAGAUGUGAAAUCCCCGGGCUCAACCUGGGAACUGCAUUUGAGACUGUAUGGCUAGAGUGUGUCAGAGGGGGGUAGAAUUCCACGUGUAGCAGUGAAAUGCGUAGAUAUGUGGAGGAAUACCGAUGGCGAAGGCAGCCCCCUGGGAUAACACUGACGCCCAUGCACGAAAGCGUGGGGAGCAAACAGGAUUAGAUACCCCGGUAGUCCCUGUCUCUUAUAC